UACGGAGGGUGCAAGCGUUAAUCGGAAUUACUGGGCGUAAAGCGCGCGUAGGCGGUUUGAUAAGUCGAUUGUGAAAUCCCCGGGCUCAACCUGGGAAUUGCAGUCGAGACUGUCAGACUAGAGUGUGGGAGAGGGUGGUGGAAUUCCCGGUGUAGCGGUGAAAUGCGUAGAUAUCGGGAGGAACAUCAGUGGCGAAGGCGACCGCCUGGCCCAACACUGACGCUGAGGUGCGAAAGCUAGGGGAGCAAACAGG
rnacentral:rRNA from 1 species